AAAUUGAAGAGUUUGAUCAUGGCUCAGAUUGAACGCUGGCGGUAGGCCUAACACAUGCAAGUCGAACGGUAACAGGAAGAAGCUUGCUUCUUUGCUGACGAGUGGCGGACGGGUGAGUAAUGUCUGGGAAACUGCCUGAUGGAGGGGGAUAACUACUGGAAACGGUAGCUAAUACCGCAUAACGUCGCAAGACCAAAGAGGGGGACCUUCGGGCCUCUUGCCAUCGGAUGUGCCCAGAUGGGAUUAGCUAGUAGGUGGGGUAACGGCUCACCUAGGCGACGAUCCCUAGCUGGUCUGAGAGGAUGACCAGCCACACUGGAAC
rnacentral:rRNA from 1 species